AUGAAAAUUACAGGCCUCUCUCAUCUUUUUAAGUGGGAGAACUUGCACAAUUGGUGGCUGACUAAAUACUUUUUUGCCCCACUGUAUAGCGUCUUAUUAAAGCAGAAAUGUAUGUUUUUUUACUUUUUUUAUGUGGUGCUGAUCACAUCACUGACGGCAGAGGCGAGGAGAAGGACAAAGGAGAGGACAUCAUAAAAAAAUAUUUAAUACACACUGGUCAGUUUUCCAUACUCCAGUUCCACCCUCCUUCAUCAUGGGCUACAAAACCAAAACUGUCUCUGGAUCAGUCUUUACGUGCCAGUUUUAUCAGUGGCAAAGGAAACGAGGUUGUCCUACUACUCCAUCACAUUCCACUUACUAUACAAAUGGGAGGAGGUGAGGGCUCUAGGAGUGUGGUACCAGGAAAAUAACCUCUCACUCAACGUCAACAAAACAAAGGAGAUGAUCGUGGACUUCAGGAAACAGCAGAGGGAGCCCCCCCUAUCUACAUCGACGGGACCGCAGUGGAGAAGGUGGGAAGCUUCAAGUUCCUCGGGGGGAAAACAUCACGGACAAACUGAAAUGGUCCAACCACACAGACAGUGUGGUGAAGAAGGCGCACAAAAUAAAUUAAAGCUCUUAGAAACUUUUAAAAAAAGGGCAAACUACCUGCCCUCCAGGACACCUACAGCACCCGAUGUCACAGGAAGACCAAAAAUAUCAUCAAGGACAAUAACCACCCGAGCAACUGCCUGUUCACCCCGCUAUCAUCCAGAAAGGUGAGGUCAGUACAGGUGCAUCAAAGCUGGGGCCGAGAGACUGAAAAACAGCUUCUGUCUCAAGGCCAACAGACUUUCACGAGCACAUUAGAGGCUGCUGCCUAUAUACUGUAUAUAGACUUGAAAUCACUGUCCACUUUAAUAAAUGUAACACUAGUAACUUUAAUAAUGUUUACAUAUCUUGCAUUACUCAUGUCAUAUGUAUAUACUGUAUCCUAUUCUACUGUAUCUUAGUCUAUGCCGCUCUGACAUUGCUCAUCCAUAUAUUUAUAUAUUCUUGAUUCCUUUACUUUAGAUUUGUGUGUAUUGGGUAUAUGUUGUGAUAAUGUUAGAUAUUACUGCAAUAACAUCUGCUAAACACAUACAGUAUGUGACCAAUAAGAUUUGAUUUGAUAUUGAUUGUUUUGCAGAAUGGGUCCUCCAUCCCAUUGGUAUCUCUGUAUUCAUUGUGUUGCAGAAUGGGUCGUUUCCAUCCCAUUGGUAUCUCUGUAUUCAUUGUGUUGCAGAAUGGGUUGUUUCCAUCCCAUUGGUAUCUCUGUAUUCAUUGUGUUGCAGAAUGGGUCGUCUCCAUCCCAUUGGUAUCUCUGUAUUCAUUGUGUUGCAGAAUAGGUCGUCUCCAUCCCAUUGGUAUCUCUGUAUUCAUUGUGUUGCAGAAUGGGUCGUCUCCAUCCCAUUGGUAUCUCUGUAUUCAUUGUGUUGCAGAAUGGGUCGUCUCCAUCCCAUUGGUAUCUCUGUAUUCAUUGUGUUGCAGAAUGGGUCGUCUCCAUCCCAUUGGUAUCUCUAUAUUCAUUGUGUUGCAGAAUGGGUCAAAUGCCUGUGUCCUCUAUUUCUAUCUCGUUGUUUCUCUUGUCUCUUUGUGUUUGUGCACCAAUGGUUUUUCUACACUCGUGACCAUUCCUAUGAUCUGCAGCGCCACGAGAUACCGAAUGGCUCAGAGUAAAAAGAGGCUUUAGAGAAAUGGGUAUUGGACUGGUGGUAAUCCUCAUGUGUAAGUAUAAAUCUGUUGAAGCACUCCCAUGCCAUUCACUAACACAGGGAAUGGCACCAGGGACCAUGUGUUUUCUUCUGAGAAGAAACGCUACACUUGAAAAGCAAUUUGUCUAUUUUAUAUGUCAAGCUUAUCAUUGAUCAAAUGGGAUGUGUCUGUGAGAGGAGAAGAUUCUCUCUGUGUGUGUGUUUUUUGUUGGAAGAAAUAAAAAGUCCUGAAGUAA